GAUGAACGCUGGCGGCGUGCCUAAUACAUGCAAGUCGAGCGAACAGACGAGGAGCUUGCUCCUCUGACGUUAGCGGCGGACGGGUGAGUAACACGUGGAUAACCUACCUAUAAGACUGGGAUAACUUCGGGAAACCGGAGCUAAUACCGGAUAAUAUAUUGAACCGCAUGGUUCAAUAGUGAAAGACGGUUUUGCUGUCACUUAUAGAUGGAUCCGCGCCGCAUUAGCUAGUUGGUAAGGUAACGGCUUACCAAGGCGACGAUGCGUAGCCGACCUGAGAGGGGGGUGGGCCACGCGGGAAGUGAGACGCCGUCCCGACACCGAGGGGAGGCAGCAGGAGGGAAGCUUCGGGAAUGGGGGAAACGCUGAAGGAGGAACGGCGGGGGAGUGAUGAAGGUCUUCGUGUCGUAAAACUCUGUUAUUAGGGAAGAACAAAUGUGUAAGUAACUAUGCACGGCUUGAGGGGACGUAAUCAGAAAGCCACGGAUAACUCCGU
rnacentral:rRNA from 1 species